rnacentral:lncRNA from 1 species
CUGUCACAUUGCCCUCCUCACUGUUUUCAUACACACUACACAGGGUUCUACACCCCAGCUUUUCCACUGGCCUUACCUCUGUCUAGGAUACUUUUGAUAGGCAUAUCUCCUCUAGGCUGUUGCUCAAAUGUCACAAUCUUAGAACUUCCCUGACUACUCUUUCUAAAUAUCACCCCCUCUCUCUAUUUCAGUAUCCCGAUUUAAUUUUAAUCACGGCACUUACAAACACCUGAUACAUUACUUGUAUUUGGGGACCACAUGAUCCCAACAGAAUGUAAGCUCCAUGAGGAAAAGGUUGAUUUUCUCUGUCCUAACACACACAGUUGUGCUUGACACAUACUUUGGAGAGAAUGAAUGAAUGAUGGAAUGAACAAACAAAUUUAAAUUUGUUGAGAGAGGCAUAGCUAGACAGGCUGAGGAUUCUGCUAUGAAACAUAUUCAGGGAUGACAAGAUGGUGACAAAGCCAUGGUCUUUAUCUCACCUACGUGGUGGUGUCCUUGGGUUCCCUCGGCGUUGACCCCUUUCCUAACAGAAUGGAAGGUCCUGUUGUCUCUUCCACAUAUUACUCGCAGUGAGCGAAAGAGGGCUUUACCACACCAGGCCUGCAGAUUCCAGUCUGAAGCUUUAUCUAUCCUGCCCCUUGGGGGACUGCAGCUGGCUUUCCCCCAUGAGACCUAUUUUGUAUUGAACAGGAAAGCACAAACAAUCACAAUGCCCAGCAAAGAUAAAGUGUUUUCCAUGCUCUGUUACGACAGUGAUCCCCAUAGAGACGUUAUCUUCAGUUUACGGAGACUUUUUUCUGAGUCCCAAAUUGCAGGAAUCUGUGGGGUUUUCCCCCUAACCUUGCCCUUCCGGCCUUUGUGGAUCCUCCUGGAAUGGUCCACGGGCAUCUAUAUCUGCUGUUCCCCAAUCCCACCAGCAAGGGGCGCGCGAGAUGAAACAGUUCUGUCCUGGGAUGUACCACCGAGGGUAGCGGAAAGACCACCCACUCUGGAAGGUACCAUUGGGAGAGGGCGUGUGACAACAGAGAGGGUCCCCUUACACCGCGUCGGGCAUGGACCACAGUUCCCAGCAGCGGCACUCAUGGCGCCACUAGGUCCAUCCCCACUCGCUCCUCUUCGUCUUCCCACUGCUUUUGAAUCCGAGUGGACACAGGAGAAAUAUCAGUGGGCAAGUAGCAUCAACAUUGGGACCUAUAGAUCAGGAUCGCCCAAGCUGGAUGAACCUGUGGUUGACCAGCAGCCCAGUGUUGAGCAACCUCAACAAGAGGAACCACCAGCUGGGAUUCAGGAUAUCAUACCUGGGAAGGAGGAAGUAAAUGGAGAGGAUCCACUGAAUCAUAAUGAAGAGAAGGAAAAGGAUGCCUCUGGAGGUAAAGUGUAUGUGUGCAUCAUGUCUUAAGACAUAACCAGUAAGAGGAGGAAAGGAAACAUUAGAAAAGGACUUCAGACAGUUCCUAAAAAACUGAGCAGAGUAUAGUUUGCAGGUCAGUGUGGUCGCUCAAAUUUUCCUUUGUUUUCAAGACAAAGAGAGGGGGCAACUAAGUUGUCUGAGGACAACCCUGGGAAAAGAAAAUGGUAAUAACAUUCGGAAAAUUCUGCUUUCCUUUUUCUCCAGCAAAAUGUUCCUGGAAUAAUGCUCCUGAGGUUCUUAUUCAUCACAUUUUUACCAUAAUAGCCUAAGACUUUUAAGUCAUAAUGCUGAGGGAAUCAAUAUCAUCAUUCCCUACUGUAUGCUUUACAGCUGAAUUGAUACAUUUUUUUUAAAGAUUCUGACCUGGAAACUGAUCUCCAGGAAUUGGCUGAGGCAAAGACUGGGGGUAAAGGUGGAGAUGGUCAUGAUGUCAGGGAGGAGUUUGCAUCAAAUACAGAGCCUGUUGAAAUGCCAGAAGCAGGUAUGUCAUCCAUUCAGAAAGUAAUUUAUGUGGUUUCUGUUUUUCAGAAUAUUAUAUCUUUAACAAUAUAGAGGGAACAUUACUAUUAUUUUUAUAACAGAGUUCACAUAUUCUUUGAAAGAUAGUUCAGACCCCAGAUGCCUGAGUGCCUGACUUACAGACUUUCAAAUAAAGAAGCAGACAGGAUCA